UACAGAGGGUGCAAGCGUUAAUCGGAAUUACUGGGCGUAAAGCGCACGUAGGUGGUCACUUAAGUCAGGUGUGAAAUCCCCGGGCUCAACCUGGGAAUGGCAUUUGAUACUGGGUGGCUAGAGUAUGAUAGAGGGAAGUGGAAUUUCCGGUGUAGCGGUGAAAUUCGUAGAUAUUGGGAAGAACACCGGUGGCGAAGGCGGCGACCUGGUCCGACACUGACGCUGAGGCGCGAAAGCGUGGGGAGCAAACAGG
rnacentral:rRNA from 1 species